AAAAACCCAUUUAUUGGAGGGAGAGAGAUAGAGAAAUAGAAUGAAGAGUUUAGCGAUGGACUAUUUCGGAGAGGCGGAGGAGCAGAGCGGCGGCGUCACGGUGGCGAUGGACGUUGACGACGUGGAUUCAUCUCUGGAUAUAUUCGGUGAGGGCCCCGUACUGGAUCUCCACCGUCUGGCUGAUUCCGACUUCUUCAACUCCUUCCAAGACGAUUUCAACGACGAAGAUAUCAACUGAUUCUCUACUGUUUGUAUUCCCCCCCUUCCUUUUUUUUUUUUUUUCUUCGAUCCUAAUUUAGAUGAAAAAUAUUAUGUAUUGACUGGCGUUCGAUUUUUUAAUCUAGUGUUGCUUCUAUGGUUUAUAUAUUGAUUGAUUCGCCUUUUCCGAUUCUUCUAGAUCUUAUUUUGGGGAUUUUCUUGUUGUGAUUGAUCGAUUGUUUGUGAUGUUUUUUCCCCCCUUUUUUGGGUGAAACCCUGAUUAAGUAGAGUUCAUUUUCCAUUCAGUUGAUUAUCCACUAAGUUGAUGAUUUUUCUUUUCGUCAUUGCACACAUGAAUUAUUCGAUAAAAACCACCACGAAUCUAAUAGGUAUUCGAUAAACAUCAGUUAAAUUUGCUGUUCGAAUGACGAUUGAUUCUAUUGCUCCUUGCUCUUCUUCCAGGGCUCGUAAAUAAUGCCGUGCUACUAGGAUGGUUGAUUAUAAUCCACGGAUAUAGUUGUCAACACUUGUAUAAAGUAUUAAACAUUGUAGAUUGUAUAUAUUGAUUUAUGCAGAUCAAAAUUCAUUCUUACCUAUCAUAAACACGACGGAUAAGAUGUAUUGCUUUUGGUAUGAAUUUACUAAUGCCGAGAUUGUGUAGCACUUUAUUAGUAAAAGCUAUGAGCGGCCUUUCCUUGUAAGCUGAAUUUUGUCAAAUUCAUUUCGUUUUCCGGAGCAUUGUUAUAUGUAUGAAGUUUUUAUUACAAGAAUUGUUUUUUCCCAUUUUCGACAGAGUUUUAGAUCUUCUUGAUACCCCUUUCUUGUAUGCAUUUGAUUUUUUCAAAUUUUAUUUGUAGCUUCGUCUAUUGUUAACGACAUUUUCAUUAUCUGUUGUGCUUAUAUCUGGUUUUUUUCACAUUCUUGUCAAGGUUGAUUCAUUCUGCAACGUCCUUAUCUAUUUCUAUCGUUGAAAUAAGGGUUAUUUUGAAGCUCCGUUGGUUGUAUUAUUACCUGCGCUAAGUUAUGUUUUCUUGUAAUUUUCAAGUUAUUUUCUUCGGCGACGGCUUGUAACUCUCUAGGUUGUGUGCAAUGUGUAAACUUUUUUUUUUGGUAACUGAUGUAUGACAGAUAUAAUUGACAUGAAAAACCUCAGUUUAUGUAAUAAAUUGCUUAUGGGAAGAAGUCAACUUUGUGAUGCAGAAAUGCAGAGGCCA